rnacentral:rRNA from 1 species
GGUUGAUCCUGCCAGUAGUCAUACGCUUGUCUCAAAGAUUAAGCCAUGCAUGUCUAAGUAUAAGCAAUUAUACUGCGAAACUGCGAAUGGCUCAUUAUAUCAGUUAUAGUCUACUCGAUAGUACCUUACUACUUGGAUAACCGUAGUAAUUCUAGAGCUAAUACAUGCGCAAAUACUCGACCCUUUUGGGAAGAGUAGCAUUUAUUAGAUUGAAACCAAUGCAGUUUCGGCUGGAUUGUGUUGAAUCAUAAUAACUGUGCGGAUCGCGUUUCAUUACGCGACAAAUCGAGUGA